rnacentral:hammerhead_ribozyme from 1 species
AUCCAUCUGACGAGUCUCAAUCAGGAUGAAACACGCGUUCUGGAU